rnacentral:lncRNA from 1 species
UGCAACUUUGGGUGCAUCACUGGUAAGGUGGCAUAAAGAAUGGACUACGGCUGCAAACUUGGAUACCCAGUUCUCUGUGGGAAGGACUUCAAACAUGGCAGUUCAUGUUGAUUUGAACAACAAGCUAACUGGACGAGUGAGCAUCAAGGCCAACAGUUCAGAGCAUCUGACGAUUGCUCUAUUAGGUGUCUAUUCGAUGGCAAUGUAUGUUAGGAACAGGAUGCGUCCUCGUGCACAUCCGAAUAAUGAGUAACACUGGUUAGUUCUGUAGUUUUGAUUUCCUAAUAUUUUUAUCCCUGUCCCUCUUCUUUGAGUUUCCAGUUGUUCUAUUAAACUACUGUUGAAGCUUCUCCUGNNNNNNNNNNNNNNNNNCUCCUGUUCCUUAUUGUAUCUCUAUUUGUGUUGACAUAGCUGUAGAAUUUAUGCACAUGUAUGUGGCAAAUAACACGACCAAGUAGAUGCCUGUGUUUUUGUUGUUCAUGCUGGCGAUAAAUAUCCCUGGUAUUUAUUCAUGAAAUGUUUGCAAUUUCGUUGCGUAACUGUCUACCUGUUCAGACUUCAUGUGUGUGAUUAUCCGUCGGUUCUCUUCAGCCUUCCAUCCAUUGUCUACCAGUUCAGGCAAUAUAUAGAAAUGUGUAAAGAUGGCAAUCUAAUAAUGCAUAGAUAAUACCACAUAUUCACCCUUUAUGNNNNNNNNNNNNNNNNNNNNNNNNNNNNNNNNNNNNNNNNNNNNNNNNNNNNNNNNNNNNNNNNNNNNNNNNNNNNNNNNNNNNNNNNNNNNNNNNNNNNAGUAGUUCACUUCAGACCUACGGGUUCGUAGUUAGUAUCUAGAUGGCUUCUUCUCUCUCUUGGAUCUUCAAUACAAAGUUCUCCAUGAUCUUCAUGGAGAUCUAUCCGAUGUAAUCUUCUUUGGCGGUGUGUUUGUCGAGAUCCGAUGAAUUGUGGAUUUGUGAUCAGAUUAUCUAUGAUAUAUAUUUGAGUCUUUGCUGAUUUCUUAUAUGCAUGAUUUGAUAUCCUUGUAAGUCUCUCCGAGUCUUGGGUUUUGGUUGGCCAACUAGAUCUAUGAUUCUUGCAAUGGGAGAAGUGCUUGGUUUUGGGUUCUGCCAUGUGGUCACCUUUCCCGGUGACAGUAGGGGUAGCAAGGCACACAUCAAGUAGUUGCCAUCAAGGGUAAAAAGAUGGGGUUUUUAUCAUUGGUUUGAGAUUAUCCCUCUACAUCAUGUCAUCUUGCUUAAGGCGUUACUCUGUUCUUAUGGACUUAAUAGACUAGAUGCAUGCUGGAUAGCGGUCGACGUGUGGAGUAAUAGUAGUAGAUGCAGAAAGUAUCGGUCUACUUGUUUUGGAUGUGAUCCUAUAGAAAUAACCAUUGCAUAGAUAUCGUCACGACUUUGCGCAGUUCUAUCAAUUGCUCGACAGUAAUUUGUUCACCCACCGUCUACUUGCUUUCAUGAGAGAAGCCACUAGUAAACACUACGGCCCCCGGGUCUAUUCACAUCCAUCUUUACACCUUCGCUUUUACUUUGCUUUGUUACUUUGUUGCUCUCAGUUCUCACUUGGCAAACAAUCUAUAUGGGAUUGACAAGCCCUUCAUAGCGUUGGGAGCAAGCUUUUGUGUUUGUGCAGGAUGUUUAGAUACUCCUCCACCGGAUUGAUACCUUGGUUCUCAAACUGAGGGAAAUACUUACCACCGCUACGCUACAUCACCCUUUCCGCUUCGAGGGAACACCAACGCAAGGCUCCAAGGCCACGGGGGAAAUCCUUUGCAUACUUUCCUAGGAAGUCCCUUAAGGCGUAGCCGCAUCAGAAAGAUCAAGCCAAGUAUUCUCCCAUCGACGUGCCUAUUUCUGGCGUCGUUGGAAGGUCUUUUGUUGCAGUANNNNNNNNNNNNNNNNNNNNNNNNNNNNNNNNNNNNNNNNNNNNNNNNNNNNNNNNNNNNNNNNNNNNNNNNNNNNNNNNNNNNNNNNNNNNNNNNNNNNUAGGGCGAAUUCAUUCACUCGGCCUGCAAAACCUCAACUGAUUUGAGGGCUGCUGAUGGGGUUGUACAUUACGGGUAGGCCUACGUACCUGUUUCCUUAGGCCUACCUAGGACCCCCUCAGGACGUUAGUGUCCUUAAAGUCAACAAUACCUCCUCAACCUCACCCAGUUCAACAACCAUCACUUGGUCUGCCUGGAGUCACUCGGAUCCCCUCGCACCAGUCGGAAACUCCAGACCACUCGGACUACAACGAGGUGAAGGCACCGAAGAGGUGGCAAUGGCUAAGGACUUAAUCCACCUCAUGAAGUGAAGUGAAGACCCUCAUUCCAGUAACGCUAGAGAUUAAGGCCGUCCUUACUUGUAACUUCCUUCUUUAUUACCAUAUAUUACCUUGUAAUGGUGCUCGGUCGGUCGUGGCAGCCACUAUAUAAGCCACUCCUGGGCACCGGCUCAGGGGUUCAGUACUUGUAAUCUUUUACACCCCAAUAAGAAAACUCCAGCCUCAGGGCUCGAGACGUAGGGCUAUUACCACUUUCGAGUGGGGCCUGAACUCGUAAAUCCAAGUGCAUCCACCACGCCUAGCUAGACUUUGCCCCUUAGUUCGUACCCUUGGUACAAUUGUUAGGAUCAUUCCCACGACAGCCAUUUGGUCGGUGCAUCCCGAUUGUGCAGAAUUUCUGCCAGGGAGCGUCACUGAUGAUAGUGACCAAGUGAUCUUGAAAAUAGUGGAACACCUUCUUCAGAGUCAGGUAGAUCCCACGGACCAGCUUCUGGUAGUGUGGGUACCUUUGUUUUGAAGGUCUCAACACUUCGGAAAUGUAGUAGAUGGGCCUUUGUACCUUGUUUGCUUUGCCCACUUCUUCACUCUCUACGGUGAGUACAAUGCUAAGCACUUGGCUAGUGGUUGCGAUGUAUAGGAGCAAGGGCUCCCGACUACUCGGAGUAGCCAACACCGGCUGGGUGGAAAGUAGAGCUUUGAGUUGGUCGAAUGCGACCUACGCUUAAUCAGUCCACUCGAAUCUCUCGGAUCAAUCGGUAAAGAGGCAGGGCCUUCUCAUAGAGUCUUGAUAUGAAGCGACUCGAGGCUGCAAGGCAGCCUAUAAGCCUACGCACAGAGUGGAUGCACUCCGGCCGUCUCAUCUUGACGAUGUCUCCAAUCUUGUCGGGAUUGGCAUCGAUACCUCGUUACGUACAUCGUGGAUGCGCUCCAGCCGUCUGAUCUGGACGAUGGAUCCAAUCUUGUCGGGAUUGGUAUCGAUACCUCGUUUGGAAACAAGGAAACCGAGUAGCUUACGAGCCGGUACACCGAAGGUGCAUUUGGCCGGAUUGAGCUUAAUCCCGAAGCGUCGAAGGUUUGCGAAGGCUUCAGCGAGGUCAGCCACGAGGUCGGAACCUUUCCUGGACUUGACCAUGAUGUCAUCCAUGUACUCUUCGACAUUCCCAGUUAUCUGUUAUUGCAAACAUUUUUGAAUCAUACGCUGGAAGGUAGCUCCAACAUUUUUGAGACCGAAUGGCAUCAUGAUCUAACAAAUAACACCCCAACGGAGUGAUGAAUGCUGUCUUUAUUUCGUUAGGUCCACAUAUUCGGAUCUUGUGGUACCUUGAGUACGCAUCCAGGAAUGACAUGCGUUCUUAUCCAGCAGUGGAAUCUACGAUUUGAUCGAUGCAGGGCAGAGGGAAGUGGUCCUUUGGGAAGGCCCUCUUGAGGUCCUUGAAUUCAAUACACAUUCAGGGUGAAUUGUUCUUCUUUGGCACGAGGACCACGUUCGCCAACCACUCGGAGUGGUAGACCUCGCAGCUGAACUCGGUAGCUAGGAGCCAAGCGAUCUCCUCGCCGAUUGCCCUAUGCUUCUCCACGGGGGAGCGGCGCAGGUGUUCCUUGACAGGCUUGACCUUUGGCUCCACUUGGAUGUGAUGCUCAGCCAGCUCUCUAGGAAACCCCGGCAUGUGAGACGGAUGUUGACGUUCAACUAUUACUGACUUGAUGCCUCCACGGCAACGACGCCAGAAAAGAGUUGCUCCCAGUUGCUCAACAAUUAGCAAUUGUCUUGCAAUAGCCCAGCAGCGUGUGGGAUCGCAACAGUUUUCGAGGGCAGAGUAUUCAACCCAAAUUUGUUGGUUCGACAUGAUGGGAGUGAAAGAAUAUUCUCCAGUAUUAGCAGUUGAGUCGUCAUCUCAACCACACCUGAAAGAUUACUAUCUGCAAGCAGGAUAAAAGCAGCAAAGUAGUAUGAUAGCAACGGUGCCAGAAACAAUCUAUUGACAAGGCAGACUAUUCCUAUCUGUUGUAUCAAUGGCGCCAGAAAAGUAUUGUAGCAGGUAGCAGCAGUGUAACGAGUAACACCGGUGGCAAGGAACAGCAGUAGUGACAGCAGUAGCAAGUAGCAGCAGUAGCAAGUAACAGCAGUAGUAAUAGUAGUAGCAGCAGCAGGACAAAGCAAGUAACAGUAGCAGCAAUAGUAGUACCAGCAGUAGCAAUAGUAGUGGUAACAGCAGCAGAGCAAAGCAAGUAACAACAGCAACAAGUAAAAGUGGCAGCAACAGUAGUAACAGCGGCAGAGCAAAGCAUGUAACAUCAGCAGUGGGAUAAACUCGUAGGCAAUGGAUCGGUGAUUUGUCGGAUGACAUUCAUCAUACAACAUUUAUAACACGGAGAGAUAUGUGACUAGCUCCCAUUCGACAAUGUGAUGUAGGCAUGCAUUCCGUGUGUAGUCAUACGUGCUUACGGAAAAGAACUUGCAUGACAUCUGUUGUCCAUCCCUCCCGUGGCAGCGGGGUCCAAAUGUAUACUACGGGAUAUUAAGGUUCUCCUUUUAAUAAAGAACCGGCCAACGCAUUAGCACUUGGUGAACACAUGAACUCCUCAAACUAGGGUCAUCACCGGGAGUGGUUCCGGUUAUUGUGACUCCGGGGUUGCCGGAUCAUAACACAUAGUAGGUAACUACAACUUGCAAGAUCGGAUCUAAAACACACAUAUAUUGGUGACAACAUAAUAAUUUCAGAUCUGAAAUCAAUGCACUCGGGCCCUAGUGACAAGCAUUAAGCAUAGCAAAGUAGUAGCAACAUCAAUCUCAGAACAUAGUGGAUACUAGGGAUCAACCCCGUCAAAACUAACUCGAUUACAUGAUAGAUCUCAUCCUACUCAUCACAGCCCAGCGAGCCUACGAAUAGAUUACUCACGAACGAUGAAGAGCUUCAUGGAAUUGGAGAGGGAAGAAGGUUGAUUAUGACGAUGGCGACGACCUCCUUGAUCCGGAGCCCAAAACGGACUCCAGAUCUACCCUCCAGGGCAAGAACGGGAUGUGGCGGCGCCUCGGGAUCGAAAACGCGAUGAAAUCUUCUCUCCUGAUUUUUUCCGGGACGAAAGGGAAUAAAUAGCGAUGGAAUUGGGGGCGGCAGAGCCACGUGGGCCCCACAAGCCCUGACGGCGCGGCCUGCGGGUGGCCGCGGCCACAGGGCUUGUGGCCCACUAGCUCACCCCUCCGAUGGAUCUUUGCGCACGUAUUUUUCAUAUUUGCCAGAAAUAUUCUUCGUAAAUUUUCAGGACAUUCCAAGAACUUUCAUUUCUGCACAAAAACAACACCAUGGCAAUUCUACUGAAAACAACGUCAGUCCGGGUUAGUACCAUUCAAAUCAUGCAAAUUAGAGUCCAAAACAAGGGCAAAAGAGUUUGGAAAAGUAGAUAUGAUGGAGACGUAUCAACGGCUUCCAUAAAAACAUAUCCCGGUUCUCACAGAGGAACUGGAUGAGCUCGGCUUCCUAUUUCUCUCGGAGUGAGGUGGGGAUGUUGGUCGCACAAGCACUCAGAUCGGUGGGCGUGGACCUGCUUUGUCUCACCGGCCGACUGAAAAGCGGAUUCAGUAGCUGGCCGCUUCGACUUGAGCAGAUCUAUGGUGUCCAUUGCAUUCUUGUACCCAUCAAGCUCGGCUACGAGGUCCUGCUUGUUGGCGAUCAUAGAGCCUUGUUGGAGGCACUCCUCGGCAACCUUCCGACUGCUAGUCAUCGUGAUCACACCUUUUGGUCCUAGCAUCAGAAGCUUAAGAUACACGUAACAUGGGUGGUCCAUGAAACGUGCGUAGGCGGGCCUACCCAGGAUGGCGUGAUAGGCACUACGAAAGUCAACCACUUCGAAGGUCAACCUCUCCUUGCGAAAAAAAAAUCUUGUUGCCGAAUACGACGCUCAAACUGAUCUGGCCAAGUGAUUCGGCCUUUUUCCCAGGGAUGACACCGUGAAACUGCAUGUUACUCUUGCUCAACCAGGACAACAGGAUGUCCAUGGCUUUGAGAGUGUCCACGUAGAUGAUGUUGAGGCCGCUGGCUCCGCCCAUGAGGACUCUCCGCAGUCGAAACCCGUUGACUGCAGGAUUGACGAACAACGCCUUCCUAUCAAGGGUGGCUAUGUUGGCGGGGUGGUCCGACUGGUCAAAUGUGACAAGCGUAUUUGCCUAGUCGAGGUACUUUGUGACACACGGGGCUGCCAUAUUCACCUCCCGAUUGAUAACCUUCAAUUGUCUCUUGCUCUCGACAUCAACAAAGAUCAUGAGGGUUGCCUCAAUGUUCGGAUACUUGGAGGCGUCCCCUGAUCUUCCUUGUCCCCGGAGGGCUCUCCAGCCAUUUCCUUCCGGAGCAGACGACAGUCGUGAGCUGUGUGUUUGCCUGGGAUGGUCUCCCCCUCCUCAUGUUUGCAAGACUGAAUUGGACACGACUGGUCUAAAAGGCUGCUCUUGGACUCGGCCUUCUGUUUGCCAGCUAGUCCUUCUUCUUCUUCUUGGAUUUAUUCUUGCUUUUCCCUGGUACAACAACUACUUUGGCUUUGCGUGAUUGGUCGCCUUUUCACAUAUGUUUCUUCCCAGCGUUGCCAGACUGAGGGGUGUCGAUGGCUCUGCCUUUGCCGCUGUGGAGGCGGUCUUCUUCUUCUCCAUUCGUGUACCGAUUGGCGAUCUCGAUGGCCCAACUGAGGGAUAGGUCCCUUGAUCAGCCAAACUUGAGAACGAGCUCCCGAUACCCAGUACAUGCUGUGAAAGCACACACGGCCUGGUGCUCGGUGACAUUCUCAACAGUGUUGUGAAGUGUGGUCCACCAUUGGAUGUACUCCCUAAGAGUCUCGUUGCUCUUUUGGACACAAUGUUGCCGCUUCGUCAGGCCGCUUGGGAGCUUGUAUGUACCCUCAAAGGUCUUGACGAACACUCGGACAAGAUCUCCCCAGCUAUGGAUGCUGCUGGACGGCAGCUGAUUGAGCCAUGCCCUGGCGGACCCCACCAAUAUGAGGGGCAGAUGCUUCAUAACGACGUAGUCGUUGCCACCACUGAUCUGGAUGGCCACUCGGUAGUCUUCCAGCCAGUUCUCUGGCUUCAACUCGCCAUUGAAAUUUCCGAUCCCCAUGGUCAACCGAUAGUUCGAGGGGAUUUCGGCUUCCCGGAUGUGUCAGCCAAAGCACUCGAAGCCAGACACUCCCGGACAGCUCGCGAUCGACCAAUUACAUGUUGCAUGAUUAUAGACCGAGCAUUGAACUCGGGGGCCCUGUAGUCGUCACACUCAUUGCCCCGACGCUGAUUGGGGCUUGGCCUACGGUUUUGAGAACGGCGACCGAGUGAGCCACUUCCCUGGGGAGGUGAACUGCUUCUGGUCUCGGUGACCAUGCAUCCAGUCUCCAUGCGGGCCUCUCGUAAGAGGAGGAGACCUUUGGUGCUGUCUAUGCACGCGCGGGCGAUGAGUCGACUGCACACUGUCCGCCUGGACAGACUUGCUAUGAAUGGGAUGUCGCGACUGUGACACUGCAAAAUUCUGAAGCAUGGCCGUCUUCAACAGAGCCUGGAUCUGUCGAAUGCCUUCCCCGGCCGCGCAGUCACUCGGCUAAAUUGAAUGAGCGAUCCGAGUGGUUGUGGCCAGGUUUAGUACAGGUGUCUGCACCACCUCGAUGUGACGUUGGCGGUCAUUCGUAAACAACUGCUUGCGACUAUGGCUAGAGCUCGGUUGGUCCCUCGUGGCCCGAGCGUGGAGCGACUGCUAGAGUCGCUCGAGGCGCUUGCGCUCGGCCUGAUUGGCCACACGCGCGUUUUCCAGCACGAUCUCCGCCGGGGUGUUCCCACUCAUGGGGUUGCGGAGAUCUUGAUUGCUCCUCUGCUAAAGUUCCUCCCACAGCUGCUCGGUGAGUGCCUUCGGAACGUGGUGGCUGACGUCGUCGUGGCGACGCUCUCCACCGUCACGCAUGGGAGGAUUCUCCCGGCGUAUCCUUUGUUGCCUCACCUGUUGGUGUCAGCCAUCAGGAUCUCGGAGGCACCCCUGCUGCUUUCACAGUCGGAGUCGCGGUGCGACUCCUCGCUGGAUGACGAGAAUAGGCUCACGAUGGGCUCAUAGGAGCUGAGCGUGGCCACCUGCCCCCGAAAUGGCCUAAUUGGCCAUUGUGUGCCUGAUCCACCACUGCAUCUACGAGCGCCAUGAGCGCUUGCAGUGAACAGCAGCGGAGUGCGGGGGUGCUGAGUGAUACGGCACCGAUAGCUAACAGAUGAGGACUCCGUGCGCGACUGCGCUAAAAUGUGACAUACCUCAUGCAGGGAGGGUGUCGGUGUCCAGUGGCGCAUCCUGCACCCACGCCAAGUCGCCGACGAUGAAGCUGAGGAAACUAAAGAGGAUCUCUCCACCGAGUGUCAUCACGUCGACAAAAAAUGUGAUAAAUCUCCAACUGCGCAGGAUUUGCUAGACGCGCAACCCCAAGGGCGAAGCCAACAGUCGUGGCAAUGACCCUGAGAAUAGAACCUUGGGGUACGAACAAAGGGGUGAAGUCUAACUAGGCGCAGUGGAUACACUCGGAUGUACGAGUUGAGGCCCCACUCGGAAGUGGUAACAGCCCCACGUCUCGAGUUGUGAGGCUGAUGUUUGCCUAUGGAGUAUGAAAGAAUACAAGGUGUUGAACCCUUAAGCUGGAGCUUGGGAGUUGCUUAUAUAAUGCUUGCCCCGACCGACUGAGAUUCAUUACAAUGUAAUUAAUGUUAAUAAAUAUGGAAGUUACUAGAAAUGACAGGUAUAACUCCCGGUGUUACUGGUAAUGCGGGCCUUCAAUUCACUUGAUGUGAUGGAUUAAGUCCUUAGUGGUUGCAGCCUCUUCGGUGCCUUCACCUUGUUGUGGUCCGAGUGCGAGGAUGCACUUGACUGACAUAAGGCGAUCUGAGUGACUCUAGGCAUGCCGAGUGACAGUAUGCUGUAUCGAGUGAGGUGGAGGCUACAUCGGUGACUUUAAGGACACUGUUAUCCGUAAGGGGUCCAAGGUGGGUCUAGGGACGCAGGUUCGUAGGCCUACCCCUAAUGUACAACCCCAUUAGUAGCCCCUGAACCGGUUGAGGUUUUGCAGACCGAUUGAAUGACUUCCUUCGAUGUCUCCGACGUUUUGGAGAUUCUUGGGUUGUAUCUCGGGGCUGCGUCUUUCGUACUCUCGGCAGAACUCCACGAAUUCGAUAGUGACGAAUUCUAACUGCUUGUACAUACAUGUAUGCCCCCUGUCGGUAGUGAUAGACUACCUUUCGCGAAGAUAGAUUCCACGAGUUGGGCGAACAGAGCUCUGAGAUCUGCAUGCUCAAUCGGCGAGUUGGGACGGAUCCCCACUCCCAUUGAAGCAAGGACGAUCAGGUCGUCCUCACUGAUUUCCCGAAUGAUUGGGGUCCCGCAGGGGGACGAGCAAAAAAAAACAUUUGACUCACCUCGUCACACGCCGUGGAUGCGGAAUCCAUUCGGGAUACAAAGCGGGACAGUUUUUUCGCACAUUUUUCAUAGAGGGUGCACGCGCAGGCGGCGGUUUCGGUGGAUACGGAGGUUGUGGAAGUUGUGGCAGUAGUGGGGUGACACCCCGAUUUCUGCACCUGUGAUGUCACUGUCAUGCUAUAGUGUAUGCCAUCCUCGGGAUAUUGCAGAUCUUCCUCGGGUCGAUGGACUUGAUGAGGAAUCUCCCCGUUGGGUAUUUAAUACACGAGGUGGAACGGAGAGGAGACCGCACCUCAGAAUCGGGUUUAUUCCAUCUCCGCGUCCUCCUCUUGCCACCAAGAACAAGAACCGCCAGCUGCCUCCUUCGAUUCCAGGCCCCGACCUCUCCGUCGCCGAGCAUGGUGAAGGGUGCGACGUCGAAGGCCGAGCGGGCCAGUAAAGGGUCGUGUGGAUCUUCCUCGAGUGCUAGAGUGCUCCUACGAGGAUGGAUCUAGGGCGACCGGAUGCCUUCCCGAGUCUCGAAGGGGCAGCUGUUUGAGCUGGAAGGCAAAGGCAUGUUCGCCCUGGGGAGCCGGCGACUGCCCGGGGAUGACGAGAUUGAGCCAGCGCCCCAGAACGAUGAGUGACUGCUCUUGGUCACCCACAUCGAGAGAGGUUUUUCUCUGACUCUGCAUCCCUUUCUCCUAACGUUUCUUGCUUUCUUCGAAACUCAACUACACCACCUCCCCCCUCCCCCAAUGUUAUCUCAUAUCUAGACGCAUUCGUGUCUCCGUGUGAGAAUUUCCUCGGGUGUCACCCGCAUUGGGGUUUGUUGAAGCGCUUGUUCAUGUGUUGAGUGAUGACCGUGAAGAAGUCUUCCUCCUCGAGAGGAAUAACCAAUGUACCACAGCUUUGUGGUGGCUUAGGCAUUCAGCUCAGGGGCAAGAGUAGCUUCCCCCAGAUGAGUUUCCCGGACUCGAUGAAUAACUGGCAGAACUCUUGGUUUUAUUGUCGAGGCGUCCCAGUAGGGGAGGGUCACAUGGGCCUCCCACCCUAUAUGUUGAUAGGAUCCACCUGGCCCCUACCUUGACCUUGUCCAAGGGGGAGAAGACCAAUGUAGAUAUCUUGAUGAUAGCGGUGGUUUCCUUGAUCCGGAAGGGCGUCAACGGGAUGGACCUCCUCGGGGUCUUCUUCCAGCGUAGGAUCCAACCUCUUCAGGCCAGAGUCCACCCAAUGUGGAAAUAUGAAGGGACGGAUGAUUCAUCUCGAGUCCAUCGUGAGGAGAUCGGGGAAGAGGCGGUGGAGAAUAGACUCAAGGCCAUUACCUAGUGAGAGAUAACCCCAGGGGCUCCAGACAUGUGCUUCCUUUCGCGUGGAUAAUCAGCCGAAUGAGGUGAGUCAUCGAACAUCUGUACCGAGUGAAUUUCUUCAUUCUUUCAACUCCCAUUUGUGAUUUUGCUUCCUUCAUUCGGCAGGCUUUCACAGGGCUGCUCAGUUCCAUAAUGGCGAUUGACCGCUUGCCCAUUGACGUGGAGAGUGACACUAAAAACCAAGACGCCGAGCUCCUGGAGGGCUCGGAGGACAAUGAAGACGACACAGACGAUGAUGAGGAGACGGAGGAGAGAGAGGAGGAGCGUGGAUACGAGGCGGAAUCUUCUUCGUAUGAUGAAGUCAAGGUCGAGACACAUUCCAAGGCGUGCCAGGACCCUGGAGCCCGCACAGGUGCCCCAAAGACUCCGUUAACGACGAAGCCGAGUGCGUCAGCCAUGCCGGCUCGCAGCUCCCAGCAGGGUCAAAGCGAGACAGAGGCGCUGCCGGAGCAAGCCGCCAAGCAACCCGAGAUAUCAAGCUCAAAACCUCGUAAGGUCGUUCUGCCGCGCAUCUAGGUCGACGUGCCUGUGGCUUUGGCGUAAGUUUCUUUACCGAGUGGUUUGUCCCAGUUUGAACAUUGUCUCCCGAGUUAUGAUUGGGCUUUGUUUUUUCUGUUGUAGGCCUGAUACUUUGACUGCUUCGCUGGAUCCAAGACCUUUGACAAAUAUAGAGAUGAUGUUGAUGUUGCUUCACCGAAAGGUAACCCUUGAGCUUUUCCGACAAUUCAUUCGAAAUUCGGCCUUUGGAUAUUCGAGUGGUCUUUGGAUUGUAUUAUGGGUAUGUGCGGAGCCGUAGGACGUGAUUGAACUCGAAGGUGAUGUCCCUUCUGCAGCUGGAGAACUGCUGAAGUAGGCUCCGACUCCCAGUCGAGUAAGCAUCGAGGACAAGGCUCCUGUGGUGCAGGAGGUUGUCUCGGCUGGGAUGUCACUCGGACAGUAUUUGCUGACUACUUUGUUGUCUGACCCCAAGGACUACACCAUCUUGUAGCUCCACCCUACCCUGGAAGAACACGAGGGGGCGUGCAAGGAGGCCUUGGCUCGGCUGGACGUGAUGGUUGGACGAUCGAAGGAGGCGUACGACACGAGUGAAGCCAUAGCAAAGAACAUCCAGGUGAGUCCUUUACGCAUGUAUUUGUUUUUGAAUCUGAUCCUUAGUAGGAAUCCCUAGUGGGCGUGCCCAGAGGCACACCCACUAGGUGUUAGUGGGUGCGCGCUGAGCGCACCCAGCGUGUCUAGUCCCCGAGGCUUCCAUUGACUAUGUUAGUCGGCGAUAAUAUUUUUCAUUGUAUGUUCGACAUAGUCGAGUAGGGUGCGGAGCCCUUAUCUUUCUUCCAUCUUUCCAGUGGGGGCACAUUGAGCGCACCCACUGGGUGUACACACCGAGGCUACUUUCGACUGGAGCUGUCGGCAGUAGUCUCAGUUUCUUUGUUUUUAUUGAUAGAGGCCAGGAGGGUAUGGAUCCCUUAUCCUCUAUCAUUCCAGUGGGGGCGCGGUGAGCGCACCCACUGGGUGUAGUCCCCGAGGCUACCAUCGACUAUGUCAAUCGGCGGUAGUCUUAGAGUUGCGACAAAAUGUUAUACCUUUGUUGUAUUUGUUGACUGCACACUGGUUAUGGGCCCGUGGGCCAUGCUGACGCCAUGGAAAAAGAGUUGCAGGAACUCCGACUGAGCCUCGAUGUGGAGAAAGCCAAGAGCAAGCGACUGGAGCAGGAAAAGCGAACAGCUGAAGGUAUGUCCUCGCCAUCCGACUAACGCUCCAUUAGGUUGUCUUUUCUUAUCCGAUCUAGUCUGUCUUGUCAGAUCACCUUUCUAAGAGGCUGAAGAAUUCCAUUUCUCUACCGACCAUGAAGGAAGCCCUCGAGAAUAGGGACAAAGAACUCGGAUCUGCUUGGAAGGAUGUCAAGGAGAAAAUCGAGGGAGUUGAGGCCAAGCUCAAAACAGUUGGCACUUUGGAGGAACGGAAUCAGCUCCUGAAAGCUGGUGCCGAGAAGACCAUGGCGGAGCUUGCCAAGCUGAAGAAGCAUUAAGCCUAGUGGGAAACCAACCUCGACAAAUCCACUACCAAGAAAGCUGAGUUCGAGAAGUUCAUCGAGGACUUCAGCGUGGAGCUUUUGCGAGAAGCUCAAAGGUAUGUCGAGUGUCUGAAUACUUACCCACGAUCAUUCUGAAAUUUCCGAGUGAUGUUUCUCAUCCUCUGUUUCCGUUGAGCGUAGCCUUUGCUGCCGAUGUUUAAUAAGAGACAACGCGAAUGUAGAAGGAGCUUGAUCCCAAGAGAGGGCUUCUAAAGGACAAAACUACCUUGUCUCUCCUCAGGCUGGAGGAUCGCGUCGAUUAUGUAAUGGCUCGCUUCAAGAUGCUUGAAAGCACAUAUGCUCCCUUGGUGAUAUUGAUAACUCAUGACAACAUACAUU